AUGGGCGAACGACGGGAACCCUUGAAUUCGGAAUAUGGGAAAGUCGCCUCGGGUUGGGGGACUACUCCUUUUAUGGGGGUCGCAAUGACUUUAUUCGCUAUAUUCCUAUCUAUCAUUUUAGAAAUUUAUAAUUCUUCCAUUUUACUGGACGGAAUUUUAACCAAUUAG
rnacentral:rRNA from 1 species